rnacentral:rRNA from 1 species
GACGAACGCUGGCGGCGUGCUUAAAAACAUGCAAGUCGAACGGACUUCUCAUGAAGCUUGCGAUUGAGAAGUUAGUGGCGGACGGGUGAGUAACGCGUGGGCAACCUGCCCCUGAGCCCGGGAUAACAGUUCGAAAGGACUGCUAAGACCGGAUAUACUUGCGGGGAAGCAUUUCACUGCAAGGAAAGGGAACGCUCAGGGAUGGGCCCGCGUCCCAUUAGCUAGUUGGUGAGGUAACGGCCCACCAAGGCGACGAUGGGUAGCCGGCCUGAGAGGGUGAACGGCCACACUGGGACUGAGACACGGCCCAGACUCCUACGGGAGGCAGCAGUUGGGAAUCUUCGGCAAUGGGCGCAAGCCUGACCGAGCAACGCCGCGUGAGUGAUGAAGGUUUUUCGGAUUGUAAAGCUCUGUCUUCCGGGACGAUAAUGACGGUACCGGAGGAGGAAGGAACGGCUAACUCCGUG